CUACGGGAGGCUGCAGUGGGGAAUAUUGCACAAUGGGCGCAAGCCUGAUGCAGCCAUGCCGCGUGUAUGAAGAAGGCCUUCGGGUUGUAAAGUACUUUCAGCGGGGAGGAAGGGAGUAAAGUUAAUACCUUUGCUCAUUGACGUUACCCGCAGAAGAAGCACCGGCUAACUCCGUGCCAGCAGCCGCGGUAAUACGGAGGGUGCAAGCGUUAAUCGGAAUUACUGGGCAUAAAGCGCACGCAGGCGGUUUGUUAAGUCAGAUGUGAAAUCCCCGGGCUCAACCUGGGAACUGCAUCUGAUACUGGCAAGCUUGAGUCUCGUAGAGGGGGGUGGAAUUCCAGGUGUAGCGGUGAAAUGCGUAGAGAUCUGGAGGAAUACCGGUGGCGAAGGCGGCCCCCUGGACGAAGACUGACGCUCAGGUGCGAAAGCGUGGGGAGCAAACAGGAUUAGAUACCCCAGUAGUC
rnacentral:rRNA from 1 species